rnacentral:rRNA from 1 species
AGUGAACGCUGGCGGUAGGCCUAACACAUGCAAGUCGGACGGCAGCACAGGAGAGCUUGCUCUCUGGGUGGCGAGUGGCGGACGGGUGAGGAAUACAUCGGAAUCUACUUUUUCGUGGGGGAUAACGUAGCGAAACUUACGCUAAUACCGCAUACGACCUACGGGUGAAAGCAGGGGAUCUUCGGACCUUGCGCGAUUGAAUGAGCCGAUGUCGGAUUAGCUAGUUGGCGGGGUAAAGGCCCACCAAGGCGACGAUCCGUAGCUGGUCUGAGAGGAUGAUCAGCCACACUGGAACUGAGACACGGUCCAGACUCCUACGGGAGGCAGCAGUGGGGAAUAUUGGACAAUGGGCGCAAGCCUGAUCCAGCCAUACCGCGUGGGUGAAGAAGGCCUUCGGGUUGUAAAGCCCUUUUGUUGGGAAAGAAAUCCAGCUGGUUAAUACCCGGUUGGGAUGACGGUACCCAAAGAAUAAGCACCGGCUAACUUCGUGCCAGCCGCCGCGGUAA